rnacentral:rRNA from 1 species
AUUGAACGCUGGCGGCAGGCCUAACACAUGCAAGUCGAACGAGCGGCGGACGGGUGAGUCAUGUCUGGGAAACUGCCUGAUGGAGGGGGAUAACUACUGGAAACGGUAGCUAAUACCGCAUACCAUCAGAUGUGACAAGAUGGGAUUAGCUAGUAGGUGGGGUAAUGGAUCACCUAGGCGACCAUCCCUAGCUGAGCUGAGAGGCUGACCGGCCAAAUUGGAACUGAGACACGGUCCAGACGCCUACGGGAGGAAGCAGGGGGGAAUAUUGGACAAUGGGCGCAAGCCUGAUGCAGCAACGCCGCGUGAGUGAAGAAGGCCUUCGGGUUGUAAAGCACUGUCAGCGAGGAGGCGGUACUCGCAGAAGAAGCACCGGCUAACUCCGUGCCAGCAGCCGCGGUAAUUC